UCCUUUAUUUUAUUCACUAUGUUAAUUUGCCAAGCAUUACUUGAUUACAUUCAGCAGUGCUGCUGCAGUGCUGGCUUGCUGAUCUCUGUGGUUCUCUAGCUUUCGGAGAUGCCGAUGGGUGCGCUGUGCUGUUCCAGUGCCCACUAUCCACUUUGGGAUAGCUCUGAGAGUAUCCACCAGAGCGGCAGGCUCAGGGGAACAGAGACGCUGUUCUGGUCAGAACUACACAGCUGGAUUUAUGUUCAAAACAUAACAUUAGAAAAAGAACUUGAUCGGUGGUGGGUUGAGACCCACUGAUGUCUGUCAGACAUGCUGGCUGGGCAGAAGGACGUAGCUCCCUGGGCAGAAAUCCUGCUGGGUGUCUCAGGGGUCCUUUGGGAAGCUCCUGUCCCUUGUUCUAUCAGUGUCCACAGGUGCUCUCUGUAAUACAGUGACGCAGUGGUAAGAAUUAAUGCAGAUCUGCACAUGUCAGUUUGAGGGUUAUUCCUUUGUUGCUCGCUGUCUCUGAAGUGCAGUCCCAACCUGCUGACAACCGUCCUUGUUCUUGACUGUCACAGAUCGACUUCCUGAAUUCAGUGAUAGUAGAUCUGCAAAGGAGAAACGAAGAAUUGAACUUGAAAAUACAAAGAAUGUGUGAAGCAGCCCUCAAUGGCAACGAAGAGGAGAUAAAUAACUAUGACAGUGAGGAAGAAAGCUUGUCAAAGAAGAAGCCUCGUCUCUUCUGUGACAUCUGCGGCUGCUUUGAUCUUCACGACACUGAAGACUGUCCGACCCAGGCACAGAUGCUGGAGGAGCCACCCCACUCGGCUUACCAUGGCAGCAGGAGAGAGGAACGCCCCUAUUGUGAUACCUGCGAGAUGUUUGGGCACUGGACGGCCGACUGCAAUGAUGAUGAGACCUUCUAAUGCCACACGUGGCCAGGAGGACACUGUGUGCCCCGAUCAGACAAUUUAUACCACCAGCAUUUGUCUGUGCUGAAUGUCAGGAAAAGGGACAACAUUUCUUGGCCCCCUUGCUCCCAUUCCUCUUGCCCAUCCACUCCAGAAUCAGUAAAUUGAUAAAUAUUUUGCUCCUCCACUAAUAAAUACCCUAUCUCCUUUUAAUAAACUGAAGUGAAAUAUAAAUACAUGAUUUAACAAAUGACUUUAUGCUGUUUCUUCCCAGGUUCUGGGUUUGUCCCUACUCUUUAACAAGAAAUGCCCCCAUGCUGUUGUGUCUGUCGAUGGAAAAACAUGUAUAGGAAUGAAGCAAUAUAGCUAUAUUAAAGCUUAUUUAAAUACCUUAAAAUUAUGCUGUUAAUUUUCAUAUUUGCACUAAACCAUUUUAAGGCUGAAUUUGUACAUUUAGAUUUUUAAGCUUUUUUUUGACACUGGACUGGGUUGAAAAAUAUUUCAUCCUUUAUUUUAAUUUCCUCGUUUGGUUGCGAUUGAUUUUGUUCAGCAAACAUGAGCUCUGGGUUGUGGUUUGAUGUCGGUGUGAAACGUGAACUCACAGGCAGGUAAGAAGGGGAGCUGCUGCGGGGGGUGGGGGUGGGGUAGAAAUCCGGGUGUUGUGCAUACCUAAAACUGUUUGUGGGACAUCCCGGUUUUUUUUCAUUCUUUCCGCUUCUAUAUAGUGUGUGUGUAUAUAUGCAUAUAUAUAUUAAAGUUCUAUUUUGGAAAAAAAAAAAAAAAGGUGUGUGUUCUUCCAUGCGCUUGGGUCCCGUUGGGAAUGUUGCCCUGUGGCUGCAGGGUAAGGAGAUGGAUUAACAGGGUGGGGGGACGCUCAGGCCGCCAGGGGGCGCUGUGGCGGGGGGCGGGGUGGGCGGGUCACGUGGCGGGGGUC
rnacentral:lncRNA from 1 species